AUUGAACGCUAGCGGGAUGCCUUACACAUGCAAGUCGAACGGAGUGGCGAACGGGUGAGUAAUGUAUCGGAACGUGCCCAGUAGCGGGGGAUAACUACGCGAAAGCGUAGCUAAUCACGCAUACUAUUGGAGCGGCCGAUAUCGGAUUAGCUAGUUGGUGGGGUAACGGCUACCCAAGGCGACGAUCCGUGGCUGGUUUGAGAGGGAGACAAGCCACACGGGGUCUGAGACACGGCCCAUACUCCUACGGGAGGCAGCAGUGGGGCAGUUUGGACAAUGGGGGAAACCCUGAUCCAGCCAUCCCGCGUGUGCGAUGAAGGCCUUCGGGUUGUAAAGCACUUUUGGCAGGAAAGCGGUACCUGCAGAAUAAGCACCGGCUAACUACGUGCCAACAGCCGCGGUAAUUC
rnacentral:rRNA from 1 species